rnacentral:rRNA from 1 species
AUUGAACGAUGGCGGCAGGCCUAACACAUGCAAGUCGAACGAGUGGCGGACGGGUGAGUAAUGUCUGGGAAACUGCCUGAUGGAGGGGGAUAACUACUGGAAACGGUAUCUAAUACCGCAUACCAUCAGAUGUGCCCAGAUGGGAUUAUCUAGUUGGGUGGGUAACGGCUCACCAAGGCCACGAUCACUAGCUGGUCUGGGAUGCUGACCAGCCACACUGGAACUGAGAAACGCUCCAGACUCCGACGGGAGGCAGAAGUGGGGAAUAUUGCACAAUGGGCGCAAGCCUGAUGCAGCCAUGCCGCGUGUAUGAAGAAGGCCUUAGGGUUGUAAAGUACUGUCAGCGGGGAGGCGUUACCCGCAGAAGAAGCACCGGCUAACUCCGUGCCAGCAGCCGCGGUAAUAC